AUUGAACGCCGGCGGCAGGCCUAACACAUGCAAGUCGAACGGUAACAGGAAGAAGCUUGCUUCUUUGCUGACGAGUGGCGGACGGGUGAGUAAUGUCUGGGAAACUGCCUGAUGGAGGGGGAUAACUACUGGAAACGGUAGCUAAUACCGCAUAAUGUCGCAAGACCAAAGAGGGGGACCUUCGGGCCUCUUGCCAUCGGAUGUGCCCAGAUGGGAUUAGCUAGUAGGUGGGGUAACGGCUCACCUAGGCGACGAUCCCUAGCUGGUCUGAGAGGAUGACCAGCCACACUGGAACUGAGACACGGUCCAGACUCCUACGGGAGGCAGCAGUGGGGAAUAUUGCACAAUGGGCGCAAGCCUGAUGCAGCUAUGCCGCGUGUAUGAAGAAGGCCUUCGGGUUGUAAAGUACUUUCAGCGGGGAGGAAGGGAGUAAAGUUAAUACCUUUGCUCAUUGACGUUACCCGCAGAAGAAGCACCGGCUAACUCCGUG
rnacentral:rRNA from 1 species